rnacentral:rRNA from 1 species
AUUGAACGCUGGCGGCAUGCUUUACACAUGCAAGUCGAACGGUAACAGGGAGCUUGCUCCGCUGACGAGUGGCGAACGGGUGAGUAAUGCGUCGGAACGUGCCGAGUAGUGGGGGAUAACGCAUCGAAAGGUGUGCUAAUACCGCAUACGAACUGAGGUUGAAAGUGGGGGACCUUCGGGCCUCACGCUAUUCGAGCGGCCGACGUCUGAUUAGCUAGUUGGUGAGGUAAAGGCUCACCAAGGCGACGAUCAGUAGCGGGUCUGAGAGGAUGAUACGCCACACUGGGACUGAGACACGGCCCAGACUCCUACGGGAGGCAGCAGUGGGGAAUUUUGGACAAUGGGCGCAAGCCUGAUCCAGCCAUGCCGCGUGUCUGAAGAAGGCCUUCGGGUCGUAAAGGACUUUUGUCCGGGAGCAAAUGCUGGUGGCUAACAUCCACCGGAGCUGAGAGUACCGGAAGAAUAAGCACCGGCUAACUACGUGCCAGCCGCCGCGGUAAUAC